AUUGAACGCUGGCGGCAGGCCUAACACAUGCAAGUCGAACGGUAACAGGAAGCAGCUUGCUGCUUUGCUGACGAGUGGCGGACGGGUGAGUCAUGUCUGGGAAACUGCCCGAUGGAGGGGGAUAACUACUGGAAACGGUAGCUAAUACCGCAUAACUUCUCAAGCCCAAAGAGGGGGACCUUAGGGCCUCUUGCCAUCGGAUGUGCCCAGAUGGGAUUAGCUAGUAGGUGGGGUAACGGCUCACCUAGGCGACGAUCCCUAGCUGGUCUGAGAGGAUGACCGGCCACACUGGAACUGAGACACGGUCCAGACUCCUACGGGAGGCAGCAGUGGGGAAUAUUGCACAAUGGGCGCAAGCCUGAUGCAGCCAUGCCGCGUGUAUGAAGAAGGCCUUCGGGUUGUAAAGUACUUUCAGCGGGGAGGAAGGGAGUAAAGUUAAUACCUUUGCUCAUCGACGUUACCCGCAGAAGAAGCACCGGCUAACUCCGUG
rnacentral:rRNA from 1 species